UUUGGUGACAUUUUGGUAUUCUGGUGAGUUUGUCUCAUCACUAAUUUUUUUAUUUGCUUUAAGUGUUAGGUGGGUGUCAGAGGCUAAAAACAUGGGUAUUUUCACAUUUUUUUUAAUAUGUACAAUAAAUUAUUUCAUUUAAACAAUGCAGCGUAUCAAAGAUACAUGCGCAAUCUGGCUAUUUGUGCAACAAGGAAGACCCCUUUUUAUAUGAGGAAACUACGUUAAGGAACUUUUUUCGAUUUCCAAAAUCAUAGUACUGUGAACUCAUCCAACAAGUGAAGCCGUAUGACCAACACCAAACCUUGAUUCCGUUUGAACUUCGGUUUAUUUCAGUUAUAUAUUUUUUAACCAAUGGCUCAUACCAGUGUUGCGUGCGUAAUGGAUAUUUCUAGCAAUGCAGUGUAAACACGCCGAAGUGCAGUUUACUAAUUCUCUUGAAUAAUACUAUAGAGUUAAGACUGUGUCAGUUGUCGUCCAAUUUGAAAUAAUAAAAUCGACAACAAUUGUAUUCCAGAUUUUCGAAGUUUGGAGUAAAGGGCAAGAAAGUGAUUGCACUCAUGUUAGCAUAAUUGCACCUGCCUUAUCAACAACAGUUGUGCCGUAUGAUUACAUGAAUAGAAAAGGGUUUGUGAUGAUGAACUAAUUUUUUGGCACGUGAAUGCAAAAUGCCAUGACUCCGGUAUAUGGCCAUUGUAGCCAUGGCUUCUUGCACAGGUGAUAAAUCCUGGAAGACCAAAUGAACAAAAUUUCAAUACUAAGCACAUAAGAGAAAGAAACACGAUUGAAAGAAUAUUUGGAUCACACUUUCGUUGCAUUUCAAAAGUUCGUACAUUGCGGUACAAACAUCCAAAAGCUGCAUUAUUUGUUUAUACAUGUACAAUACAGUAGUUUUCUGAAACAACGAGUAUUCGUUUUGAUGAAAAUCGCUUAUAACGAACAAGCAAAUUGUUAACAUUGAGUACCUUAAAAAACGAUAUCAGAUAUUUGCAAAUAUUCAGUUUAACGAACAACAUGAAAAAGAGGUGUGAAGGAAGAGUUAAAAAUAAAACAAAAUCAUCGUAGAAAAAUAGUAUUCAAAAAAUAACUUUAAAAAAUGCAUAAUAAAUUUGCAAAUUGAAAAAAUUAAUACAUGAAAAAUAUUGAAUUUGAUAGAAAAACCUAAAACUGUUGAUCGGCACCAAAUAGAAGUAUAUAUAAGUUUCGGAGUUAUGUAAAAUAUUUAUUUAAAAGUAUCCACAUUUAACAUUUAAUAAAAUAUGGCAAAGAAGAACAUUAUCAAUUUUGUAAAACUUAUUCUAUUCAUUGAACUUCAGGGAGGAGCAAUCAAAUAUAA